GCGGCCUACUGACAGUCUGCUGCCCACUGUGCCGUUGGAUCACCUGCACCGAGCCCAGCCUCACCCUGCCGGGGUCGCUGUGGGUUAACACUGAGAUCUGGGACCAGAUACUAGACACACAACAGGAAGAGGAGGAGGAGGAAGAGGAAGGACAGUGGAAGGAAGCUAACAGACAGACACAGACCACUACACCGUACACAUGGUCUCCAUCAAGGCAUUGUGGCUUGAGGCUCAAACUACAGAAUUUCCUGAGGAGGAUGAAGCACAAUGUACUCUAAACCGAGAAGACGAAGAGCAGAGAAGAAGAAGACCGGAU
rnacentral:lncRNA from 1 species